GGGCCCGUAGCUCAACGGCAGAGCGACGCCCUCAUAAGGCGUGGGUUCCUGGUUCGAGCCCAGGCGGGCCCACCA
rnacentral:tRNA from 1 species